rnacentral:rRNA from 1 species
GAGUUUGAUCGUGGCUCAGGAUGAACGCUGGCGGCGUGCCUAACACAUGCAAGUCGAACGAAGCACCUUACCUGAUUCUUCGGAUGAAGGUCUGGUGACUGAGUGGCGGACGGGUGAGUAACGCGUGGGUAACCUGCCCUGUACAGGGGGAUAACAGUUGGAAACGGCUGCUAAUACCGCAUAAGCGCACGAGAGGACAUCCUCUUGUGUGAAAAACUCCGGUGGUACAGGAUGGGCCCGCGUCUGAUUAGCUGGUUGGCAGGGUAACGGCCUACCAAGGCGACGAUCAGUAGCCGGUCUGAGAGGAUGAACGGCCACAUUGGAACUGAGACACGGUCCAAACUCCUAUGGGAGCAGCAGU